rnacentral:tRNA from 1 species
UGGGGCGUCGCCAAGUCAGGCAAGGCACCGGUCUUUGGAUCCGGUAUUCGCAGGUUCGAAUCCUGCCGCCCCAGCCA